GAUGAACGCUGGCGGCGUGCCUAAUACAUGCAAGUCGAGCGAACAGACGAGGAGCUUGCUCCUCUGACGUUAGCGGCGGACGGGUGAGUAACACGUGGAUAACCUACCUAUAAGACUGGGAUAACUUCGGGAAACCAGAGCUAAUACCGGAUAAUAUAUUGAACCGCAUGGUUCAAUAGUGAAAGACGGUUUUGCUGUCACUUAUAGAUGGAUCCGCGCCGCAUUAGCUAGUUGGUAAGGUAACGGCUUACCAAGGCAACGAUGCGUAGCCGACCUGAGAGGGUGUUCGCCCCCCCUGAACCUGAGCCCCGGCCCGGCUCCCUCCGGGGGGCGCCGUAAGGAAUUCUCCCGCACUGGGCGAAACCUUGCCGAAGCAACCCCGCGUGAUGAAUGAAGUUCUCCGGUUCGUAAACCUCUUUUUUUGGGAAAGAACAAAGUUGUAGGUAACUAUGCCCGUCUGACCGUUCCCAAUCCAGAAGCCACCGCCUACCUCCGG
rnacentral:rRNA from 1 species